AGAGUUUGAUCAUGGCUCAGGACGAACGCUGACGGUGUGCUUUAGACAUGCAAGUCGAACGAGAAAGCCCUUCGGGGUGAGUACAGUGGCGAACGGGUGAGUAACACGUGGGCAACCUGCCCCUCGCAGGGGGAUAACCGGAGGAAACUCCGGCUAAUACCCCGUAAGCUUUCAGGGUCGCAUGGCCCUGUAAGGAAAGGUAGCUUCGGCCAUCCGGCGAGGGAUGGGCCCGCGGUGCAUUAGCUAGUUGGUGGGGUAACGGCCCACCAAGGCGACGAUGCGUAGCUGGUCUGAGAGGAUGAUCAGCCACACUGGGACUGAGACACGGCCCAGACUCCUACGGGAGGCAGCAGUCGGGAAUCUUGCGCAAUGGGCGAAAGCCUGACGCAGCAACACCGUGUGAGCGACGAAGGCCUUCGGGUCGUAAAGCUCUGUUGUUGGGGACGAAGGGUUAGGGGUUAAUAGCCCCGAGCCUGACGGUACCCUUCGAGGAAGCCCCGGCUAACUACGUGCCAGCAGCCGCGGUAAUACGUAGGGGGCGAGCGUUGUCCGGAAUUAUUGGGCGUAAAGAGCGUGUAGGCGGUUCGGUAAGUCUGCCGUGAAAACCCAGGGCUCAACCCUGGGCGUGCGGUGGAUACUGCCGGGCUAGAGGGUGGUAGAGGCGAGUGGAAUUCCUGGUGUAGCGGUGAAAUGCGCAGAUAUCGGGAGGAACACCAGUAGCGAAGGCGGCUCGCUGGGCCACACCUGACGCUGAGACGCGAAAGCGUGGGGAGCAAACAGGAUUAGAUACCCCCGUAGUCC
rnacentral:rRNA from 1 species